rnacentral:rRNA from 1 species
GUCAAGUACAAAGAGCAUCGGGUGGAUGCCUUGGCACUGGGAGCCGAAGAAGGACGUGAUAAGCUGCGAUAAGCUGCGGUAAGGAGCACAUAUCCGAUAUACCCGCAGAUUUCCGAAUGGGGGAACCCACAUACGGUAAUGCGUAUGUAUCAUUAAGUGAAUACAUAGCUUAAUGAAGGGAACGGGGUGAACUGAAACAUCUAAGUAGCCCUAGGAAGAGAAAGAAAAAUCGAUUUCCUGAGUAGCGGCGAGCGAAAGGGAAAGAGGCCAAACCAAAUUGUUUACAGUUUGGGGUUGUGGACCACCGACAUUGACGAAGUUAUGCGAGCCGAAUAGGGUUGGAAAGCUCAAGCAGAGAAGGUAAUACUCCUGUAGGCGAAGCAGAAAGCGCAUAGGUGGCACCAGAGUAGGACCGGACACGUGUAACCCGGUCUGAAGCAGGAGGGACCACCCUCCAAGCCUAAAUACUACCCAGUGACCGAUAGCGAAUAGUACCGUGAGGGAAAGGUGAAAAGAACCCCGGGAGGGGAGUGAAAUAGAAUCUGAAACCUGAUGCUUACAAGCAUAGGGAGCGCAAGUGACCUAGUACUUUUUGUAGAACGGGCCAACGAGUUAUGGUAUGUAGCGAGGUUAAGUUGCUGGAGCAACGGAGCCGUAGAGAAAUCGAGUCUGAAUAGGGCGAGAGUUACAUGCUGUAGACCCGAAACCGGGUGACCUAUCCAUGAGCAGGUUGAAGUAACCGUAAAAGGUUAUGGAGGACCGAACCUAUAUCUGUUGAAAAAGGUUAGGAUGACUUGUGGAUAGCGGUGAAAUUCCAAUCGAACUCGGAUAUAGCUGGUUCUCCUCGAAAUAGCUUUAGGGCUAGCCUCAAGGUAAAGAUACACGGGGGUAGAGCACUGACUGUUCGCGGGGCCUUCACCGGUUACCAACAACUAUCAAACUCCGAAUACCGUGCUAUCAUACUUGGGAGUCAGACUAUGAGAGAUAAGUUCCAUGGUCGAAAGGGAAACAGCCCAGAUUAACAGCUAAGGUCCCAAAGAGUAAGUUAAGUGGAAAAGGAUGUGGGAUUGCACAAACAGCUAGGAUGUUGGCUUAGAAGCAGCCAUACAUUUAAAGAGUGCGUAAUAGCUCACUAGUCGAGUGAUCCUGCGCCGAAGAUAAACGGGGCUCAAACUUACCACCGAAGCUUUGGAAUUAGUAUAACUAAUUGGUAGAGGAGCAUUCUAUACAGGUAGAAGGAGGCGCGUAAGCAAAUCUGGACGGUAUAGAAGAGAGAAUGUUGGCAUGAGUAGCGUAAGGCGGGUGAGAAUCCCGUCCGCCGAAAAUCUAAGGUUUCCUGAGGAAGGUUCGUCCUCUCAGGGUAAGUCGGGACCUAAGCCGAGAGCGAACGCUGUAGGCGAUGGACAACAGGUUGAUAUUCCUGUACCACCAAGGAUUGUUUGAAUGAAGUGGGGACACAGAAGGAUAGAUUGAGCACGCCGUUGGUUGAGCGUGUCCAAGCAGCAAGGCUUGAAAGUAGGCAAAUCCGCUUUCUAUAAGGCUGAGCUGUGAUGGGGUGGUCGAAUGACCGGUAGCAAUCGAUUUCACGCUGUCAAGAAAAGCCGCUAAUGAGAUCCAAGGUGCCCGUACCGCAAACCGACACAGGUAGAUGAGGAGAGAAUCCUAAGGUGAGCGAGCGAACUAUUGUUAAGGAACUCGGCAAAAUAACCCCGUAACUUCGGGAGAAGGGGUGCCUGCUUCGGCAGGCCGCAGUGAAGAGGUCCAGGCAACUGUUUACCAAAAACACAGGUCUCUGCUAAAGCGAAAGCUGAUGUAUAGGGGCUGACGCCUGCCCGGUGCUGGAAGGUUAAGGGGAAGUGUUAGGGCAACCGAAGCACAGAACUUAAGCCCCAGUAAACGGCGGCCGUAACUAUAACGGUCCUAAGGUAGCGAAAUUCCUUGUCGGGU